rnacentral:snRNA from 1 species
GGAUGUGAGGGCCAUCUGGCUGCGAUGUCUGUCACCCCAUUGAUGGCCAGGGUUGAUUCGGCUGAUCUGGCUGGCCAGGCGGGUGUCCCCUUCCUCCCUCACCGCUCCAUGUGCGUCCCUCCUGAAGCUGCACGCUCAGUCGAAGAGGAUGACCUUCCCCGCUAGAGGAGGACCAGUCUUUGGUCAAGGGUAUACGGGUAGCUGCGCUGCCCUGCUAGAACCUCCAACAAGCUCUCAAAUUGUUGAAAUCUUUACUUAGUAUAGAAUUGGUCUUCUGUGUACAAAGUUAAUUGAAAAUGAAUCUUAAU